UGCAGAAUCCCGUGAACCAUCGAGUCUUUGAACGCAAGUUGCGCCCGGAGCCUCAGCCGAGGGCACGCCUGCUUGGGCGUCACGCCUCUAGGCGCUCCCCUCCCACUUGAGUUCAGCAUCUUGAUGUUGGCCUUGUUGGUGGUGGAUGCGGAUGUUGGCCUUCCGUGGCUUUGCCGCCGCGGUGGGCUGAAGGAUGUGGAGUCGGUCCGUCCAACGUUAUUGGGCAUGACUGUGCUGGGUCGCUGCUGCUACUGCUCGUUGCUCGCUGGGUGCGGCAGUCUUAGCAAAUGCGGGCAUCGUCGUUGUGUCGAGUAGCCUUGUUGUCGGACUCUUACGCCAGUAAAGUUACCACGAUUGGUAUAUCAGCGGUCACACCGUUGGUUCCUCAUAUUGCGACCCCAAGUCAGGCGGGAACACCCGCUGAGUUUAAGCAUAUUAAUAAGCGGAGGAGAAGAAACUUACAAGGAUUCCCCUAGUAACGGCGAGCGAACCGGGAAAUGCCCAGCUUGAAAAUCGGAAGGCUCUGCCCUCCGA
rnacentral:rRNA from 1 species